GAUGAACGCUGGCGGCGUGCCUAAUACAUGCAAGUCGAGCGAACAGACGAGGAGCUUGCUCCUCUGACGUUAGCGGCGGACGGGUGAGUAAAACGAGGAUAACCCACCUAUAAGACUAGGCUAAGUUAGGGAAACCGAAGCUAAAACUGGACAAUAGCUUGAACCUGAUGGUUCAAUAGUUCAGGACGUUUUUGAUGUCCCUUCUAGCUGUAUCCGCGUUGCAUUGGUUAGUUGGUACGGUAACGGCUUACCAAGGCGACGAUGCGUAGCCGACCUGCGAGGGGGAACGGCCACACUGAAAGUGAGACACGGUCCAGACUCCUACGGGAGGCAGCAGUAGGGACUCUUGCGCAAUGGGCGAAAGCCUGACGGAGCAACGCCGCGUGAGUGAUGAAGGUCUUCGGAUCGUAAAACUCUGUUAGUAGGGAAGAACAAAUGUAUAAGUAACUAUGCACGUCUUGACGGUACCUAAACAGAAAGCAACGGCUAACUACGUG
rnacentral:rRNA from 1 species